GUGGGGAAUAUUGGACAAUGGGGGGAACCCUGAUCCAGCCAUGCCGCGUGUGUGAAGAAGGCCUUUUGGUUGUAAAGCACUUUAAGCGAGGAGGAGGCUACCGAGAUUAAUACUCUUGGAUAGUGGACGUUACUCGCAGAAUAAGCACCGGCUAACUCUGUGCCAGCAGCCGCGGUAAUACAGAGGGUGCAAGCGUUAAUCGGAUUUACUGGUCUUCAAGCGCGCGUAGGUGGCCAAUUAAGUCAAAUGUGAAAUCCCCGAGCUUAACUUGGGAAUUGCAUUCGAUACUGGUUGGCUAGAGUAUGGGAGAGGAUGGUAGAAUUCCAGGUGUAGCGGUUAAAUGCGUAGAGAUCUGGAGGAAUACCGAUGGCGAAGGCAGCCAUCUGGCCUAAUACUGACACUGAGGUGCGAAAGCAUGGGGAGCAAACAGGAUUAGAUACCCCAGUAGUCC
rnacentral:rRNA from 1 species